rnacentral:rRNA from 1 species
AGCGAACGUUAGCGACGGGCUUAACACAUGCAAGUCGAACGCGAAAGGGAUUCGUCCCCGGUAGCGUGGCGUCCGGGUGAGUAACACGUAGGAAACCUACCCUCGAGCGGGGGAUAACGUUCCGAAAGGAACGCUAAUACCGCAUGAGACCACGGCAGCUCUGGCUGCUGAGGUCAAAGAUGGCCUCUGUACACAAGCUAUCACUCGAGGAUGGUCCUGCGGCGCAUCAGCUAGUUGGUGGGGUAACGGCCUACCAAGGCGAAGACGCGUAACUGGGCUGCGAGGAUGAUCAGCCACACUGGCACUGGAACACGGGCCAGACUCCUGCGGGAGGCAGCAGUGGGGAAUAUUGGUCAAUGGGCGCAAGCCUGAACCAGCCACGCCGCGUGAGUGAUGAAGGCCUUCGGGUUGUAAAGCUCUGUGGAGAGAGAAGAAAACGGCGCAUAAGAAACGAUGCGUCCUUGACGGUACCUCCUUAGCAAGCACCGGCUAACUCUGUGCCAGCCGCCGCAGUAAAAC